rnacentral:lncRNA from 1 species
GUGUGGUGUGGAAGUGUUUGUUUUUUGCAAUAGAUUUUUGUUGCAGUUUAGGUUUGUAUUUUCUUUGUUUUGUAGUGCUUAUUAUGAAGGUUCGUAGGUUUAUGUCUGUAGGCCAGGCAGGUCAUUAAACUUAACAAAGAAUAAGUAAGUCGGGAGAGGGGAAUAGAAAUCUCCACAUACAUAUUCUUAAAAGCUGUAACACUCACCACAAAGAUCUGCUGAGUGAAGUCUGUGAGACGAACGCACCAAGUCUGGACGCUCUGUCAGGCUACAUUUUACGUUUUUGGGAGUGAGCAGGUGUUAUUCUGUUCCCCGGGUUGGUUUUGAAGUCAUGGCUCUCAAGUAAUUUUUGUGCUUCUCAAAAGUGCUGGAAUUGCAAAGAUCAACAUCAAAAGCUACAAACUGGAAACAGAGGAAGAUACUAGCCCCGUGUUUCUGAUUCAGUAUCACUGAAAUACUUUGGAACCAUAUAAAGGGCAAAGUACAUUCCACAUGUUGAAGGACAGUGCCUGGCCCUGUGGGGUGUCAUCCCCAAGCUGUAGGCAUAGUGGCAACCCAGGGGUUCAUCUCAACUCCCAUCAGAGUUCAAACAUUGAAUUAGUUGUGCAAUGGAAGGAGUAUUACCAGGACCCAGAUGCAGCCCAAGGAAAAAAGAAAACAAAAGGAGACACACACAGACACCAGAGCAUGAUGCAAGUGUGGCUUAAUCGGUGCUUGCACAUUGGGCUUGUUCUUUCCAAACCUGUUGCCCCGAUUCUGCAAGGCUAUCCUGCUGUAGAAGGAGGCCCUGGAGGACAAGACACCAUGUGGGGAAAACAGCCAUGGGGAGCAGAACCGAGGUAUCCCAGCUUAGCUCCCAACUGACAGCAGCCACAUGAGUGAGCAGAAAAACAACUUCCAAGGGUGAUUUAGCUACUGCUGCUGUGGAAUGUCAAAACUUUCAGCAAGGGAGCCCGAUGCAGAUCUGUUGAUAUGACACCAUUCCACAAGAAGACCAACUGAUGGCUUUGUGGCAAGUUGACUACACUGGGCUGUUUCUAUUCUGGGAAGACAGAGAUUUGUUCUAAGAGGAAUAGGCAUGUGUUGCAGGCAUAGGUUGACCUUUCCUGCCAUGGAGCCUCCUCUGGUACCACUAUUUGAAGGUUGAAGGAAUGUUGAUUCACCAGGAUUGAGUCAGACCAGCCAAGCCUAUGACCAUGAUGUCAACUGACUGUAUCACCUGUCACAUCAUCCAGAAGCUACAGACUUAUAAGGCAUUGGAAUAACUUGUAGAUGGCCCCGUUAAAGUACCAGCUUAGAGGCAACACUCCAUGAGAAUGAGACAUCAUCUCCAGGAUGGCACAUACACAUUGAAUCACACAGCAUUGAUAAGGAGAUGGCUCCCCAGUAGGAAGAAUAUAUUGGUCAUGAACCAAGGGAUGAAGCAGAAGUGUCUUGCUUCCUGUCCCUGCAGCCUCUCUUUCUGCAGUGCUAGAAAUCCUGGUCAAAAGGGGGCAUAAUUUUAUCAGGGGACACAGCAAAAGUCUCCACUACAUUGCAGCUAUGCCUGCUGCCUGGGGAUUUUGGGCUUCUUAUAAUUGGGACCAGCAAUAAAAGAGAAGAGUCACAGUCUUGGCAGGGCUAAUUGACCCUGAUCAGCAGGAGAAGAAAGGCUGUGGUUCCACUAUGAGGGUAGGGAAGACGUGUGGCACCACUGAUCCACUUUUGCAACCCAUGGUACUCCCGUGGCCAGUUGUGAUGACAGACAAGUGCAGGAACACUUUUGGGAAGGGCAUGGUGGCCAGAGUUCAGACCCCAUGGGAAUGAGGACCAGGGUCACACCACUGGAUAAGCCAGGAGGAAGAGAGGCCCACUGGAAGGCUGGAGGAGCUGCUCCCCAGAUGUAGAUGAAGUAGAUUUGAGCAGCACAGUGGUGGACCUAGUAGAGGCGGACAUCAAGAUCCUCUUCAAGGAAAGAUUAUCAAUAUAGUUUUCCCUGACCCAGGUGCCAUGUGUUUUCUGUCAUAUUCACGUAUGCUAAUACAUAAUUGUGCAAGUGGGGUAAUAUCUGGGACACUUCAUGGUUCAUAUCAAAACACAGAGUGAAGAGAACAUCCUCUGGGCCAUCUCAGAGUGUGAGUUUGGGGCGGGGGUGGCUCCUGGUUAACAUUUCUGUCCACUGCAGCAUUCCUUUUCCCUUUUGCUUUUAGAUUCUUCCCUUGACAUCACACCAGGAAAGUCUGACAACUUAACUUUAUUGGAUAUAGGCAACCGUUGAAUCCAAGUUUUGCCCACUGAAUCCAUCAAAUUGUUACAGCCAAUUCUAGAUGCCUGAGUGGACACAUGAAAUCCAGAUUCCCCAGUAAGCGCAUCCCCAUUAAUAAACUGACCAAAUGCAAUGUUAAUCUGUUCUAUAACCUUUAGAAUCCAUCCCAACAUAUAUUUUUUAGGUUCCUGCCAAGAUAUGUUAGCAAAAGCUUGCAAUUUUUUGAAAAAUGAAUUAUCUCUUCCUGGGACAUGUGUUGUACUUUUCUCUCUGAAAUAGGCUGAGCUCUGACUCCAUUAAAAGUCUGAAAGCAAUGAAGAGUGAAGGAGCGGAUAUUGGGGAGAAUAGGCAUCCUCUUGCAAGAUAACUGCCUCAAAGUCAUUAUAAGGUUUUCAAGCAAGAGAAAGCUAAUUUCCUUACACAUAUGAAGAAGCGUUG